ACUCCUACGGGAGGCAGCAGUAGGGAAUUUUCCGCAAUGGACGAAAGUCUGACGGAGCAAUGCCGCGUGAGUGAUGAAGGUUUUCGAAAUCGUAAAGCUCUGUUGUAAGGGAAGAAUAGCAGUAGUAGAAAUGACUACUGUGUGACGGUACCUUACCAGAAGCACGGCUAACUACGUGCCAGCAGCCGCGGUAAUACGUA
rnacentral:rRNA from 1 species